UACGAAGGGGGGCUAGCGUUGUUCGGAAUUACUGGGCGUAAAGCGCACGUAGGCGGACUAUUAAGUCAGGGGUGAAAUCCCGGGGCUCAACCCCGGAACUGCCUUUGAUACUGGUAGUCUCGAGUCCGGAAGAGGUGAGUGGAAAUUCCGAGUGUAGAGGUGAAAUUCGUAGAUAUUCGGAGGAACACCAGCGGCGAAGGCGGGUAGCUGGGCCAACACUGACGCUGAUGUGCGAAAGCUAGGGGAGCAAACGGG
rnacentral:rRNA from 1 species